GCGUCUUGGCAAAAUGCUCACACAGGUCAGACACACAGACCAAGUGGGGUUCAUAAAGAACAGGCAGGGAGGUGACAACACAAGGAAGGUUUUGGACAGUGUCCAAAGAUUGAAAGUGGGAGGAGUGUUGGUGUCACUGGACGCCAAAAAGGCCUUUGACCGACUGGGAUGGAAGUUUCUCGAGCAGGUCCUCUUGAAGUUUGAGGUGCCGGAAGGUUUUAUCUCAGCGGUCAGAGCUCUAUACAAUGCACCAACAGCAAGGGUCAUCAACGCAGGGUUCAUCUCGGACCCCCUCAAAAUUUUAAACGGCUCCCGACAGGGAUGCCCGCUAUCGCCACUCCUGUACGUCACGGCCCUGGAGCCUUUGUCGGCGGCGAUUAGGCAGCACUCCUCCAUACACGGGGUAAGAAUAGGGGACAGGGAAUACAAGGCGAGCUUAUUCGCGGACGACAUCCUUCUAAACCUGACACAACCCCACAUAUCCCUCCCCAACCUAAUGGCCACCAUCACGGAAUACAAGAAACACUCCUACUACAAAUUAAAUGUCACAAAGACACAAGCAAUGGGAUUGGGGAUACCAGGGGAAACACUCAAUAGAAUAAAAAACACCUUCCCCUUCGACUGGCGAGAGGACCACUUAACUUACCUGGGCAUCCGCAUCCCACCACACACUGAAAAACUACUAGACCUCAAUUAUGAAAGACUCAUGAAGGAAACAAAAAUCACCCUGGGGACAUGGGAAGGGAAAUACCUGUCAUGGGUGGGGAGGAUCGUGGCGAUAAAAAUGAUGAUGCUCACGAAACUCCAGUAUCUCCUGAGAACCCUCCCCAUAAAACUGCCAAACGCGUACCUGACCUCAUUCCAAAAAACACUAAUCAGAUUUAUAUGGGCCAACAAGAGACCAAGGGU